AACGACUCUCGACAACGGAUAUCUCGGCUCUCGCAUCGAUGAAGAACGUAGCGAAAUGCGAUACUUGGUGUGAAUUGCAGAAUCCCGUGAACCAUCGAGUCUUUGAACGCAAGUUGCGCCCGAAGCCACUUGGCUGAGGGCACGCCUGCCUGGGUGUCGCGC
rnacentral:rRNA from 2 species